rnacentral:lncRNA from 1 species
GGUUCACAAGGAUGGCCCAAGACUAUGGAAAGGCACUGAUGAGUAGGAACAAGGCUGUCGGUCCCUGUGCCGUGCUCCCUCCCACCCUCCAGACCCCCAGCCACUCACUGGAUGGCAAACAGGGAAGUUACUCUUCUAUGAACCAUGCUCACUUGGAGUGUGGGGGUCUUAUAAAGAUCCUAUGAGAUUAUAAAGGGACAGGAACCAGAGGCUCCCCUACCUGUGAGCAAGGCCCAGGAAAUCUACUCUGACAUAAGGAUGCUUCCUUCCCUGUUGGCUCUCAGUGUGACUCCAAGAAGACUGCUCCACAGACUCCAGUUCAGCCAAGUUCUCCUGAAAGCCCAGAUAUAGGGCAACUUGAAACUUGGAAAAAUGAGUCCCUACAUUUUCCAUC